GAAAUGCCACAUUGAAUUUGGGCGUUAUGUUGAGACACUGGAGUUGCCAGGCUCUGUGGGAAUUAGAACGUAAUGAAAGAAAAAAACUGCUCCUCACCAUGGCCCCAUCUUAUUUGGGCCCCACAACCGUUUCUCAUAAUGCCGGGCCUCAGGGAGUCAAGUGCUCAGAGUGGUCCUCUCCCUGGGAUUUUACGUGUGCCCCACGCUGUUGUCAGAAUGAUUUAGCUUUUACCUGGUGAGAGGUGCUUAACGUCACUCGGGCUUGUUCUCCACGACAGAAGUCUCAAGCAAAGACUGCGACCGUGGCAUUCCUGCUGGCUCCGAAAGCCGAAUUGCUGAUAUCAUUCAGAGAUCAUGUCCAGAUGAAUUGGUCAAGGGCCUCAUCUGCCACUGAUCUCCUGCAGCAGUCGCCUUGAAGACUGGUCAUGCUGCCUCGUAGGGAGCCUGACAUGGCUCCAGGGAGGACGGCAGGACCGAUGCUACGGCCGUCAGUGAUUCACCCGCAGCCUGGCUGGCAACUGAUCAUUACCACUUGUUCCAUUUUCGGAAAGAAAAGCUUUUUACUGGAGUAUUUCACACUGAGGAAAACAUAUGGCUGUAUGUGUGGAUAAGUGUGUUAGCGUAAAAUGACUAAUCAUCACAUUUUUUUUUUUUGUUAUCUUUGACCGUUUUCAAGAAAGCCAGAGUCAGUGUCUGUGGAUUUGCAGACACUCCAGUCAGUUAAUAGGGUCAAUGAAGUGGACAGGGUACCAGAUGACGAUGGCCAAAAAUCCAGGGGUGCUCGGGUAACUUGUGGACUAGAGGGUCUGUCUUCUAGGAACUGGGAGAUGUCGGAGGAAGUGGCCCUCUCUCUGACGUGAGGCUCCAGAAAGCUCAUGAUGGAUGAUUGUCUUCGGUGCUGGUCUUCAUCUCUUUACUAAAUGUGUCCCUGAGAUUUAGGUGACGGACAGGGGGGAUAGGGGGAACACAUAACAAAACCCUCAACCCAAACCAUAUGUCAUAUAGGCCUACCUACAAUAACUUUCCUGCCACAAGCCAUAACACUUUAUAACUCCUCACCUCUGGCUGACAGAUAGACGUUUUUUAAACAAAAGAGCAAACAUAAAUCCCGGCGCAUUUGCACUACUUCCACCGUUAAUACUUAAUGUAAAUUCUUUACAUUUUAUUAUUCUUAUUCUCUAUAUUUUUUGCAAUUUUAUAUUCUAAAUUCAUUUGUGUAUAUAUUGUAUAUAUUUUUAAUGUGUGCUGUGUAAAACGUGCU